rnacentral:lncRNA from 1 species
AACGACGGCCCCAACCAGUAGUUAUCCAGCAAAGAUGUUAGUGUGUGAGCACAUCUAUACUAGUAUUUAAAGAGCAAACAUCAAUUCCCCUACACCCACAUGAAUAAGUGUACACGGGAUGACCUCCACCGUCCGAUCUGACCCACUUAUUACCAUCUGACUGUCCACGUUACAUCCACCAGGCUACAAUCAGAUCAACGGUUGAAACUAAAUGUUCUACCGGAAGACUCUGCCCUCUACGACGCUACACGUCCCAACGAGCAAUGCCGCCAGACUCCAAAAGGAAACCUUCACGAUUAACGCCGCCACGAGGCCACGAAGAUGACCUCGCCGGUCUUCUUCGCCAAUGGUUGCCGCAACGUCCUCACCACGGUGGCUCCUCACACCGAUCUGGAGUAGAUCUAGUCUCCACGCCAUCCUCAACCCGGUGGUCGUCGUCUGAUGACACAUCUGGCCACCCCGGCGCGCUGCCGUACCUCCCGUGCAUCACCCCGAUGGCCUGCACCAGGGGCGAGGAGUUAGGUACGUAUCGGCCCUGCAAUUGCACAGGUUAGAUCUUGAAUUUCUUGAAUUUGCAUAUCAUAAUCAGCCAAAAGACAAAGGAAAUUGCUGUGAAAUUUGAUACGUACAGGCAUUAUGAUCUAUACUAAUGUAAUACUACCGUCAGGUCACCAUGUACAUGCAAGUUAUUAGGAUUCUUGCUGAGUUGUUUCUUUUGUUACCUAUACAACAGGGUUGAACAAUUGUUUCGCAACUAGACAAUAUGGCAUUCUCUCAACAUAGUGUUGUACAUACUCCGUUUUGGGACCUAAUGAACAACGACAAUUCAGGUAAAUACAUAUGUCACCAACUCUUAUCUACAUCGACCUUGUGUAUCCUGAGUGUUUCAUCGCCUCGCAGGUCAGAAAACAGAUCCAAAAGAAUUGAAGAGACAAAGGGAAAGGGAGAGGUAUGCACUAAACAGGGAUGCAAUACUUAAAAAAAAAGGAGGCAAGGGAUCUUAAGAAAGUUGCAUGUGUUGUUCUAAAUGGAAAUAGCACUCCAUCUACACAACCCGUGCCCAUAUCGCCCGGUUUUUCCAUUUACUUUGUUCUUUAUAAUACAUUGAUGAAUCAUAAAUAAGUCAUAUUAAUGAUCGAUUCUUAUGGACAGAUUUUCAUACUGCGGAUAGACCCAGUGCACAGUCCGCUCUCACCCAGCUACAGUACACACCAGCUUUCAAAGGUGAUAUCUUUUCUUACCAAACAUAAUAACUUCCUUUAUGUGUCAACAACUGACAUUGUACAUACCAUUGUGAUGCAGGCAUACCUGGUGAUGUGAUAAUGGGUGAUCAGGCUCCACUUCAUGGUCCAAAUUCAUUAAGAACGCCACAAAGUGUCGUUUCUAACAAAGAAAAUGUCAAUAAUGUCGACCCCCGCAUUGAGUACUCCCCACUUACUGGAUUACGACCUCCACUUCAAGCCUACAGAUACAACAUGUCAUAUGGUAAUCAAUUGUUGAGUGCAACAGGCAAAUAUCCUGUAUGAGAAAAAAACCGAAUUGCUUAUAUAUAUUAUAUGUCAUAGCUGAUUUACACUUAUAUCAUAGCGUACAAACACUUGUUUCUCAUGCUAUGUAUUGUAGCUAACUCACACUUUAUUCUACAGAAGAAAAACAAGCACAUAAGAGGGAGAGGAAAAAUGCCCGGUAUGAGCAAACAUAGAGAAGGGAUGUUACAAAGCCUACGUGACAAAGCCUACAUGACUCUACUGAGCAUCUAAAAGUAAGAUCAGGUGGAAGUGUGUUCUUAGAGAAUGCAUGCAUCUCUAAGAUGAUAAAGCUCGGUAACUACCUACCUUCGGAUGACACGGAUGAUGUACCAGUAUGGUUAUUAAAGAGAGCUAAAAAAUAUUUGGAAAAUGGUAUGGUUAGUCUUACUUUACUACAUAUUUCUAUGAAGUAGGGCAAGAACGGCCAAUUCGUCCACAUAGGAGUACAGCUAAAAUAGUCUUAUUCUUCAUAUAUUCAUUCCAAUAAACAUGAACGACGUUCACUGGUACCUAUGUGUUAUAAAUGCCAGAAAACUAUGUGUUCAAGUGCUCGACUUGCUAGGUACAUCAAUGAACCGCCAGGACCUCAAUGAUAUGGUUACUAUUUAGUACUACAGUGAAGUCUUUUCAUAAGAAGGUUUUUCUCUUGCCAAUUUUUUGCUUGUGAUGCUUAUGCUUUUUUCAUUUGUUGGUGCAACAGCUAGAAGGACGGGAGGAUUUAUUCAAAUAUGCAUCGAAGCACAUGGAAUUAAAAUCUGAUAAGUGGACUGGUCUAAAUGUUACAACAUGGAAAAGAGAAGACCAUAUUAAGAACAGACCUCAAACAGAUGGGUACGCCUCGUAACAUAACUCGGUCCAUUUUUGCUUAGCAGGGUACAUUUGUACAAUUCUUUUUUUAUCAAGGUUGUCCAGUCUGACUGUGUGGUUCAGUCAUCGUCAUUUUAUAAUACUAAUAGUAUUUUGUUCAUGUUUUUGUUAUUAAUCAUAUCAAAUUUUCGUAAUCAUCCAGGUCAUCUUGUGGUCUGUGGAUGUUAAAUUACAUGGAGUACUUCACGGAAGAUAAUUUGUCCGACACUCCCAAAUAGGUAUAUCUUGCAUCAUACCAUGAUACUAUUUAUUUCAUGGUGUAUAAUUAUUUGAAAACUAAGUCUUAUUAUUAUUACUUCACUUUAGGUUCAUAUGACAGAUUUUAGAACAAAAUUAGCGGUCAUUUUAGACGACUCGGAAUUGAACGAUGAUGAUAUAAGAAAGCGGAACUUCGAUGAUGAUGAAACCAACACGGAUGCCAUCGACUGUAUGAUUGUGGAAAGACCUCCUAACAAACCAAAAACAUCCAACUCAUCACCACAAGUUGAGCCCAGCUCGCAAUCAUAUGUCCUUUCACCGUCUGUCACUCCAACAAAUAACAACUUAAUAGACGAACUUUGCUUGUUCAUAAGAAUGGUUGAUGAUGUCCCUUUCCUAGAGUAAGACACAUUUUUCAAGUUCAUUUUUGUUUUUAAUAAAUUAUUACUCUUAACUAUAAUUGACAGAACUCCCAUUUCACAGGAGUGAAUGGGUGAGAAGCUCUCAUCCUUAUCUUAUCAGUCUAAAUUUGAGACAAUUAGAAAACAUAUUAAAGAAUGAUGAGUGCAUGGAAGCUGAUUAUUUUAAUAUGGUUGUGUGGAUACUAGCGUGUCACGACGUCCAGCUUGCUAGAGACAUCCCAGUACACUACAUGAAUCUACGGUUUUGUGUAAGUUAUUAUAAUCAUAUAUUACAUUUUGCUUCUUUCAACUAAUGUUUUCUUAUAUUAUUGUAGUCCAUGUCCCACUAUGCACGAGUUUCAAGUCAUCGUGACGACAUGGACAUUGCUAUGUUGGCACGACUAUUUGAUAUCUGGCCUGAUAGCAAUGAGUAUCAUAUCUCAGAAUGUGAUAUGGUAAGAUUUGAAUUUGAAGUCAUUGUUUAUUUGGUCUUAAUGAAUGAUAAUAAUUGUUGUGUGUCUAACUGUAUGCACCAUUGCGAGUUUUAUUGCCUUCUGAUAUUUUUGGGCUAUAUUUAUUGUUCGUCUUGGACCAACAUAAAAAAUUGUCUCUAUUUUGGACCCGCUUUCAAUACCCAUUUUUGAAAAGCAUAUGCUUGAAAGUAUGGUUAAUGAUCUAAACCUUGCUCUCCAAGUUGCAAAGCGUGCCUUCAAGGACAACAUCUUGACAUGGGGAUGCAAAGUUCCCGUUGUUCCCACAAACUCAUACGGGUAAUAAUUUUGUCUCUCUUUUUUACGAAUAGGGUAAUAAUCUUGUCAAUACAUCACAAUCUUAAUUGAUUCAUUCAACUCACAUGUAACAUCUCAUACAUGCAGUCCCCUCUCUAGUUAUUUGGUUUUCAAUUUAAUGCACUCAUGGCACGAUGGAACGUUACAGUUUCCGGUACCCAAGGUAAGUAUUGACACCAUGCUCAUUCCUAUACACGUUACACAUGUUUUUUAAAUAACAAUGUUAUAUAAUACAUAUGUAGGAUGAUUUUGAACUCAGGAAGCGAUUUUUGGUUCAUAUUUUGAACUAUGAAGAGAAUGAAGUUCUAAACCAUAUCCCGGUCUUAGAACGAAACAUUAUAGAUCGCAUCAAAAGAUGGACCUUCCAGAGCGGAUCAUCAUCAAAUAGUGACUACUAGGUUGCAUAUAGUAUAGAAAAUGCUUCACAAUUAGUGGAUAUGAACAACAAAAAUGUUACCACACGCAUGGAAAGAAGCGGAUAGAUAGCAUAUGUGUAUGUGUUUCACAAACGAUAUUCCACAAAUGAAUGGCAAUGUGGUGAAGGCAUGCCUGUUGUGCAUACAAUGACAUAAGCAUCAACGAAGUUCAGAUGUCAAUUGAUGGAGUCACGUGCAUUUCUGAUACAAAAAGUGCAGAUACUAACUUGGUUGUGACCCUGGAACUCUCGGUUACUAAGGCCCUGUUCGGCAAUCCACCAGCUCCUUAAAAACCAAGGAUCUAUGGAGCACCUGUUUGAUCGCUCCAACAUUUUCUACUGCAACUCCGUCCGCUCCGGGAGGGAAACCGAACGGACUGUAAGUUCCAGUAAUAAUGCGACAUUACAACAUGAGAAUACCACUCAAAUCAUGCAACUUCCACAAAAAGCAACAACUCAACAUCAAUUAGAGUUAGCUGAUACUGACAAAUUAAGCCAUUCAGAAUCCAAAUCCACAAAUAAAUAUACCCAAGCAUCAUCGAUACUGAAAAAUUAGAGCUAGCUGAUACUAACAAAUUAGAGCUAGCUGAUACUGAAAAAUCUCUUGUCUAUGUUGUAUGUAAAGCCAGUAUGGAUGCUAGAUCUACCAUCUCAACUAGAUAUCGAAAGAGAGGUGCAAGGAACCACAUCAGGGAUGGAAGCACCGUAGCAAAUCGAAACAAGAAAGAAGGAGAGGGGGAGGGAGGAAAAGGGAGACCUUGCAUGGCGGCACGGCGUUCCGAGAAGAAGAAGCAGGAGGGAGCGCGGCGUCCCGAGCUCCAUGUCCCUUGACAAGGGCGCGAAUUCGCUCCAUCUGGCGCUGUCUAAGCCUGAGGUGUUCGCAUAGACACAGUGGGUCCGGUCCGCUCUGAGAUGCCCACUCCCUCAUCGUGUCCAGCAGCUCGCACUGAGAUCUGCGUUGAGACACGACGGCGGAAGAGUUGGCGGUGAGGCGAACCUGUGGUGGGGAGAGGAUGUGGCGGGGCGACACCAUAAUGGGAAGAGGAGGCGAUGAGCCGAGGCCGUAGGGGGUGAGGGGUGGGGGAGGAGGCACGGGACGACAUCCUGGCUAGAGAAAAGGCGGUGUGCGGAGGCGUGCGCGCAAC